rnacentral:sRNA from 1 species
AGGAGCUGAGGGCGCUGGGCAGCGGGGGCCCGCGGCGGGAGCGGGAAGCGCGGGGUCCUGGGUGGCCGCCGCGAGCUGGGAAGACUCAACAUAAAUCCGACAGUGUUAAUAACAUGCAUCAUCUUCUCACACCCUCUGUUCCACCUAUGACUUACAGAAAUUCCAACAUAAUGUGGAUGUCCAGGAGACUGACUGUUCCAAAUCGAAACAGAAUGUCCCUGGGUUGUAGUCUGGAUACCGCGCUUACUAACUUUGGUCCAGAUCUAUGUACAUGUGGCUGUCAGCGAAUGGGAAAUGAGCAGAGACUGUGAGUGUAGCUUCCUGAUUGCAAUCUUUCUUAAAAGAGGUUGUCUGUCUCCUCAGUUCCCGGCCUACUUUUUGUGUGAGAAACUGAAGAUGGCAAGGAUAAGAUCCGGGUGUGCUGUCACAGGGAAACAGCCAACUGAGGUCCGUGGAGGACUCUGUAGAGCAGACCACUUCCAUGACUUAACUGCAGCCUGUACGAGAGAGGAUGGACUUUGUUAUACUUAAUUUGCGUUCACUAGGUUUUGGACUAUUGCUGGCCCUCGUACACAAGGAUAAUUAUAUCUCCUCCUUCCCAAAACUUUGAAUUAUAAGUAGACCGAAAGCAAGGAGGGAGACCAGUUGGAGUUAAUUUUAGUGACUGUCAAGAUUCUAAGAAGCCCUGGAGCCUGGAUCACCUUCUCUAGAAUGCCAGUUUAGUUCCCACCAAUCUCAAAACUAAUUUUGCAAAUGUUCCAUUGAUUCUGUGACAUACCUGUGAUCUUUUCAACAAACCCUGUUUGUUUAAUUUUGUCAAAAUUCAUUUUGCAAUUUGGAGUACUAUGUGUGGAGCAAUACAAAUUUCAUAUUUAAGAAUAUUUCCUAAAGAGGAACAAUCAAUCCUCCAUUGUUGGUGGGAUUGCAAGCUGGUACAACC